rnacentral:sRNA from 1 species
AUCUGAAGCCUGACGAGGAUGAGAACCUCCGGGGGCAGGAGGUUCGACCCGAGCGCAGCGAGAGAACGUUGCGUCAGCAACGGCCCGCAGGGCGAGCCACGCAGUGGCGAGUCAUCCUCUAUCACCG